AAGACCUUGCGCUUUUAGAGCGGCCGAUGCCUGAUUAGCUUGUUGGUGAGGUAAAAGCUUACCAAGGCUUCGAUCCAGUAGCUGGUCUGAGAGGACGACCAGCCACACUGGGACUGAGACACGGCCCAGACUCCUACGGGAGGCAGCAGUGGGGAAUUUUGGACAAUGGGGGCAACCCUGAUCCAGCCAUGCCGCGUGGGUGAAGAAGGCCUUCGGGUUGUAAAGCUCUUUCAGCCGGAACGAAACGGUUACGGUUAAUACCCGUGACUACUGACGGUACCGGAAGAAGAAGCACCGGCUAACUACGUGCCAGCAGCCGCGGUAAUACGUAGGGUGCGAGCGUUAAUCGGAAUUACUGGGCGUAAAGCGUGCGCAGGUGGUUUUGUAAGUCAGAUGUGAAAUCCCCGGGCUUAACCUGGGAACU
rnacentral:rRNA from 1 species